UUGCUCAUUUCGGCAGCACAUAUACUAAAAUUGGAAGAUCAGUAUGCUCUCUGCACAAUGAUGACAUGCAGAUUUGUGAAGUGUUCCAUAUUUUC
ensembl:snRNA U6 U6 spliceosomal RNA